rnacentral:misc_RNA from 1 species
UGUGGGGAGCGACAAUGGGCGUGGUCGGCCAGGCUGCGGAGUGGCUCACAGGCUGGCGACUGGGAGUGGGCGGAGCGUGUCAGUCAAAAGUGAUUUAUGGUCAGUGAAGAGCCAUGGAUGCUCACUUUGGAGUCCCGCUCUGUGUGUGGCUGACUGACAGCCUCCCCGACACGUGUUGCCUCGCCGCCGCUGACUGACGCUCGCCGGACAGUGCGUGCCGUGACUUGCCGGACAGUAAAGGGCCGCGCCUGUGAGGAGUGGAGUGUCUGGUGUCCUGAUUCGAAUUGGUACAAAGUGGCGUCAGGCGGCGGGAAAAUGGUGGAGACGGGAGGCGUGCGGUCGGCGGGGUCCUCUCCCGUGUCCUCUGCGCUGCCGCCCCCCGGCCUGCCGCUGGCAGGGAUGGCAGCGUCCCUGGCCGAGCCACUCGUGCCCACCUCCCUGCCCUGCCUCGCCCCGCUGCCCCACUAUCCCUAUCCCGCCUACCUGCACCACCUGUCGCAGUACAUGGGAGCCGCUGACCCCCUCAAGCAGUAUCUGGCUGGCGGCGACCCCCUCAAGCACUACCUCACCUCAGAGCACCUCAAAUAUCUCCUGCCGGAACACAUGCGCCUCUACCUGGGGCACGACCCUCUCAAGAGCUACCAUGCCUCGCACGCCGAACAUCUCAAGGUGCCGCUACAGAUCUCAGAUCCUCUCAAAAAUUACGCCUCUGCCUCGGAACACCUGCGCUGCCUGGCCUCAGGUGAGGUCACCGAGGGUGGUGGCCUUCCUCCCGUGUCGCGCGCCCAGUCCUCCGUCUUCACCAUCGAGAGUCUGCUUGCGCCCAGGACGUCCACUGGGGCGCCUCGCCUGCCACCAUCGCCCUUCCCCACUAUUCCUCGCGCCCACUACGAUCUGCUAGGAACAAGCCAGUACCCCGGCCUGUACUCCGCCUCCCUCUUCGGCGGCUCCGGGGCGGGCGGAAAGAGGAAGAGGCGUCACAGAACCAUCUUCACCGAGGAACAAUUGGAGGAGCUGGAGAGAACCUUCGCCAAAACCCACUAUCCUGAUGUGCUCCUAAGGGAACAGCUCGCCCUCAAAGUAGAUCUCAAGGAGGAGAGAGUCGAGGUGUGGUUCAAGAACAGACGCGCCAAGUGGCGUAAACAGAAGCGAGAGGAGCAGGAGCGGCUGAGGCGACUGCGGGAUGACGCUGGGCAGGCGGAAGUCCAUCCCGAGGACGCUCGAGAUCCAGACUUGAGCAGCGACGAGGACGUGGGCGGCCCCGAGGCGCUGGGCUCCGUGGAGGGAAAGGCCGGAGAAGAGUCCCCAAAACCAGUGUCCCAGGGCGAGGCGGUGGGCGGUGGUCACAGUCCAGCCGCGGCCCCGCCUUUCUUCUCCCCGGCGAAGAUGGCGGCGGAAACAGACGCCAAACGGCCUGACCACCUGGCCACAAUGCACAGGGUUGCCCAUGCCUGCCAUGCAGACCUCAAGCCCACGCCUAUUUCCAGCCAUCCCUAGGGGCGGCCUGGACCCCCACACUGCCCAUCCCCCCCAGGCCUUUCUACUGGCCGACGAUGACCUGCACGCCGUCAAGAGGAGACGAGUGUCCGCUGAAUGUUCCGAGAUCGAGCUCACCUAACAAGCUCCGCCGCCGCUCCGCCGCCUGCCCGCCCGGGCACCGCCGCCGCCCCGCCCUUGUUGUAUACUAGUCACUGGAGGACCUUCGCUUGGUGUUCUGCUGCGCAAUGUGCAUUCACUCACACAACUACAUCAUCAGACACACUGUUCCCAUAACAAGCUGAUUUGAACACACCGAAGGAGGAUCCCUACGAUGAGAGAUAUCUCAAUAAUAUACUCGUCUUUUGUUUCUGUACAUAUUACUUCACGUUGCUAUAAGUAAUUCUGUCAGCUGUAAUAAUAAGACAUGUGAAAAGGAGUGUAAUAUAUUGUGUAUUAGACUCA